GAUGAACGCUAGCUACAGGCUUAACACAUGCAAGUCGAGGGGUAACGAGAGGAAAGCUUGCUUUCCUUGUCGACGACCGGCGCACGGGUGAGUAACGCGUAUCCAACCUGCCCCCAACUAGGGAAUAACCUUGCGAAAGUAAGACUAAUACCCUAUAAUUUCCUCAGAUGACAUCUGACGAGGAAUAAAGAUUUAUCGGUUGUGGAUGGGGAUGCGUCGGAUUAGCUUGUUGGCGGGGUAACGGCGCACCAAGGCAACGAUCAGUAGGGGUUCUAAGAGGAAGGUCCCCCACAUUGGAACUGAGACACGGUCCAAACGCCUACGGGAGGCAGCAGUGAGGAAUAUUGGUCAAUGGGCGGAAGCCUGAACCAGCCAAGUAGCGUGCAGGAUGACGGCCCUAUGGGUUGUAAACUGCUUUUAUACAGGAAUAAAGUUAGCCACGUGUGGUUAUUUGUAGGUACUGUAUGAAUAAGGACCGGCUAAUUCCGUGCCAGCCGCCGCCGUAA
rnacentral:rRNA from 1 species